UCUCAGCUACUCAAGAGGCUGAGACAGGAGAACUGCUUAAACCCAGGAGGCAGAGGUUGCAGUGAGCCAAGAUCGCACCACUGCACUCCAGCCUGGCAAGAAAAAGUAACUACCCAUGGAGAUGUUCUGAUGGUUAGAUGGGACCAACCUGUGACGGUGCUUCAUAUGCCUUAAGCAACCCUGGCUUCACUGCUGUUCUCCUUAUCAUCAUCAGUGAUAAGUAUAAUUCUACUUUUGACUGGGAGGCUCAGAGAGCCUAAGUAACUUGUCCAAGGUCAUCAGCUAAUAAGUAACGAUCUACAGGUCUUUGUCAUACUAGCAUUCAUGUUCCCUCUUUUAUACUUUGUAGCUUGGACAAGAAAUACUGAACUUCAUCUUCUCAAAAUCAUUUCCCAUUUUAUAAUGAGAAUAAUAUGACUUUUCUUUCUUCCCCUGCAGGUGAGAUGCAAUCCUUGAGGUUUGUGUGCCUUGAAAAUUGCAGAGCUGUUUGCACGUAAGAUGCCCCGUGUCAUCUCCCAGGUUGACAGAUAAAUUCUUUGCAGGAAAGUAUUGUGAUCGGCACAGCUAUUCAGGCAUAGAGUAAAUAUUCAAUAAACAUGUGGGCUGAGCCCAAGAGGGCUGUGGUGGGCAGGACCCUGUGGCACUGACGUGAGGUUUCCUGCCACCCCCAGCGUUGAGGCAGUGGGUGAUCUUAUGGAGGUGGAGUCAGGAAGCAGGGGGAGGCCCCCAGCCUUGAUAACAGGCCCACUUCCUCUGCCACCCAGCCACAUCAAAGCAGGAUAAACUGUUUCAUUCAUUCCCAUGGCAACUGGGUCCCUGAGACUUCAUGGUGGAGAUCUCCCCCCACGUCCCUUCUCAUUUCUCCCUGUGACUUUACCAGGACCUACCUUCUAAGCUAACACCACUGCAGCCCUUACUGCCCCCAGCACUGUGAAAUCAAUUAGGCCAACAUUAAUCCUCACUAACUGCAUUGACAGGGAGGCAUUGCUAUACUCCCAUUUUACAGCUGAGGAAACUGAAGCUCACAAGCUAAAUGUCUUGCUGAAGGCCCACAGUUAGUGAGCAGCAGACCCAGGAUUUGAAAGCACAAUGGUCUGGUCCCAAGGACUAGUAGUCACCAAGUUAUUCUGCCUCUCCUUCAAGCAUUCAAGUUCCCUGGCCUCCAUUCUAGUCCUCUCUCCACUUAACUGGGGGUGGGAGGGACUCAGGAAUUAGGCAAAAAGAUUACCGCAUGCCUGUUAAAAAUCAUAUGAGAGCAUUUUUCAACAAGCUGCAGGCUUCACAGUUUAUCAUUCCAGGGUUUGGGCCUCACCAUCGCCUGCCCCUCUAUGCCACAUCUGCUUUCUGGGCUGCCCAGAACAGAGUUUCUACCCAGCCGCCUGCAAAAAUAUCUCAAGGCAUAGCAUGCAUUGAGCUGAGGAGAGACAGCUGGUUCUAUUGAAAUUGGGAAGUGGUCUCCCCACAGGUAAUCCCCUCCCCUAACCUCAUAGCUCCCUUAUCCUUUUCAAAACACAAAAAAGAAUCAUUUAGGUCUUUGGUAUAAACCCAAGGCCCUGCCAGGACAUUUGGAUUUUAAAUUCUUUCUCUGAGCAUUGUAGAAAGGAAGGAAAGCAUUGCCUCCUAGCAAAGGAACUCCAGUCACCAGCAAGCUCAGAAGAGAUCCAGGUCUGUUUGUUUUGGGAGGGAGUGAGGGAGGGAAUGGAGUUUGACCUUAAACUGGCUUGUUCCUUUAGGGUUUGUUCUUUUCCUUGGGAAGCUGAGUUGGCAGACGCCUUUCAGGAUCCAGCCCCUCCUAAGGGUUUUCCUGAUGUCCUAAAUCUCCACCCAAGUCUCUACUAUGAGAUUCAACCAUCAGAUGCUUGACAAUGUCAUGAAGAAGAGCCUCCAAGGUUGUGAACCAAGGCAUAGGCAGAAGUGAACCAAAGGUUACAAGACUGAUGCAUCACAUUCACUGAGAUGGAGAAGUUUGAGGAGAGGAUAAUUUGGGAGUGGAAAACGAGAGUCCUUCUUUGUCCGAGUUCUAUCCCCAUCUGACCCCAGUGGAGAGGUCUGGGCUAUAGCUCUCUAUUUGGGAGUUCACAUGGUACCAUGGUCACUGAGGCUGUGAACCAUGUGAAGAGAGAAGUGUGGAGAGAACACCUCCAGUGUUAAGAGGUGGCACUGGAAGAAUCACCAAAGGAACACUGAGAAGAUGCAGCUCAUGAACAGGAAGAGAACACGAUGUCCCAGGAUCCAAAACAAGUGUGUUUCAAGGAGGGAGUGGGGAAUGCUGCUGCAAGAUCUACAACAUGAGGGCAGAGAAGUGGCCACUGCAUCUGGUGACGUGGAGGGUUAGGGUGAGCAUGAAGGAACAAGUGCAGGGAGAAUACCAAACGGAAUGGGCUGAGGAGAGAGAAGAAGUGGCAGAGAGGCAACUCCUUUGGGAAGCUUUGCUCAAGACUUGGGUUUUUGAGAUGCCCCAGAAUCCUUCUGUUAAGUUCCUUUUUGUUUUUCUUUACCUAGCACAAGUUCAUUCGCUGUCAUAGUGACCAAAAGAACCCUAAGGGGCCUCCAGUUUGAAAAAAAA